AGGGUUUGAUCAUGGCUCAGAACGUACGCUGGCGGCACGCCUAACACAUGCAAGUCGAACGAAGUAGCAAUACUUAGUGGCAGACGGGUGAGUAACAUGUAGGUAUCUGCCCUUUGGCCUGGAAUAACACGAGGAAACUUGUGCUAAUACCGGAUAAGUCUUUACGGAGAAAGCUUUAUGCACCAUUGGAUGAGCCUGCACUUGAUUAGUUUGUUGGUGGGGUAAUGGCCUACCAAGACUUUGAUCAAUAGCUGAUUUGAGAGGAUGAUCAGCCACAUUGGGACUGAGACACGGCCCAAACUCCUACGGGAGGCAGCAGUGGGGAAUCUUGCACAAUGGAGGAAACUCUGAUGCAGCGAUGCCGCGUGAGUGAAGAAGGCCCUUGGGUUGUAAAGCUCUUUCGUCGGGGAAGAAAAUGACUGUACCCGAAUAAGAAGGUCCGGCUAACUUCGUGCCAGCAGCCGCGGUAAUACGAAGGGACCUAGCGUAGUUCGGAAUUACUGGGCUUAAAGAGUUCGUAGGUGGUUGAAAAAGUUGGUGGUGAAAUCCCAGAGCUUAACUCUGGAACUGCCAUCAAAACUUUUCAGCUAGAGUUUGAUAGAGGAAAGCAGAAUUUCUAGUGUAGAGGUGAAAUUCGUAGAUAUUAGAAAGAAUACCGAUUGCGAAGGCAGCUUUCUGGAUCAUUACUGACACUGAGGAACGAAAGCAUGGGUAGCGAAGAGGAUUAGAUACCCUCGUAGUCCAUGCCGUAAACGAUGUGUGUUAGACGUUGGAAAUUUAUUUUCAGUGUCGCAGCGAAAGCGAUAAACACACCGCCUGGGGAGUACGACCGCAAGGUUAAAACUCAAAUGAAUUGACAGGGACCCGCACAAGUAGUGGAGCAUGUGGUUUAAUUCGAAGAUACGCGCAGAACCUUACCAACACUUGACAUGUUCGUCGCGACUUUAAGAGAUUAAAGUUUUCGGUUCGGCCGGACGAAACACAGGUGCUGCAUGGCUGUCGUCAGCUCGUGUCGUGAGAUGUUGGGUUAAGUCCCGCAACGAGCGCAACCCUCACUUUUAGUUGCCAUCAUUUAGUUGGGCACUCUGAAAGAACUGCCAGUGAUAAGCUGGAGGAAGGUGGGGAUGACGUCAAGUCCUCAUGGCCCUUACGUGUUGGGCUACACACGUGCUACAAUGGUAUUUACAACAGGAAGCAAAACGGCGACGUUAAGCAAAUCCUCAAAAAAUACCUCAGUUCGGAUUGCACUCUGCAACUCGAGUGCAUGAAGCUGGAAUUACUAGUAAUCGUGGAUCAGCGUGCCACGGUGAAUGCGUUCCCGGGUCUUGUACACACCGCCCGUCACACCAUGGGAGUUGGUUCUACCUUAAGGCAAGGUUUAAAACCCUUGACCACGGUAUAGUCAGCGACUGGGGUGAAGUCAUAACAAGGUAGCCGUA
rnacentral:rRNA from 1 species